GCCACAUGGAAUGGUGAUAGUGGGAGGCGAUUGCAAUGCCGCUCCAUGCCCAUCGAGAGAUAGGGGAUCUGGUAAGAUGGAUGCGGUCAGGACAAAUUGCUACACCUCUUCAUGCAAGAUACAGGCCUUAUAGACAUAUGGAGAGCGUACCACCCGGAUGAUAGCGAUUUUACCUUUUACUCAGCACCCCACAACACUUAUUCGAGAAUAGAUUUGUUUCUGGUUAGCCCCUCCUCAGUACCCAAAAUAUCAGAAUCAAAGGUAGGCUCCAUCACUUGGUCAGACCACGCAGACAUUUCCCUAACUCUGGAUAAGCUAAGUGCGGCGUCCCCAUGGUCCUGGAAAUUAAAC